CAGUCGCCACGGUAAUACGGAGGGGGCUAGCGUUGUUCGGAAUUACUGGGCGUAAAGCGCACGUAGGCGGCUUGGUAAGUUAGAGGUGAAAGCCCAGGGCUCAACCCUGGAAUUGCCUUUAAGACUGCCGAGCUAGUAGGUGAGAGAGGUAAGUGGAAUUCCGAGUGUAGAGGUGAAAUUCGUAGAUAUUCGGAAGAACACCAGUGGCGAAGGCGGCUUACUGGCUCAUUCUAGACGCUGAGGUGCGAAAGCGUGGGGAGCAAACAGGAUUAGAUACCCCUGUAGUCCCUGUCUCUUAUAC
rnacentral:rRNA from 1 species